rnacentral:rRNA from 1 species
UACGAAGGUGGCAAGAGUUGUUCGGCAUUACUGGGCGUAAAGCGUAUGUAGGCGGUUUGACAAGUCAGGAGUGAAAUCCCAGGGCUUAACCCUGGAAUUGCUUUUGAAACUGUCUUACUUGAAUCCGGUAGUGGUUGGCGGAAUUCCCAGUGUAGAGGUGAAAUUCGCAGAUAUUGGGAGGAACACCAGUGGCGUAAGCGGCCAACUGGACCGGUAUUGACGCUGAGGUACGAAAGCGUGGGGAGCAAACAGG